GUGCAUGGGACCGGCCGCCAAGCCGCCGAGGGUGUGCCCUCGGUUUUAGAGCGUUAGUCCCGGAGACGCGCGGGAAGCCCGCGUGGGACCCGGUAGCUGAGACACGUUGGCGUUUGCAGCCGGGACAGCACACUGCCCCCGGAGCUGCCACGUGUUCGGCAGGGUCCCGAUCCCCCGCGAGCGAGUCCUUUUGUUGGGCCAACAAUAGCUGCCCAAAGGUGGUGGAGAGGGAAAUAGCUCCGUGCACGCAUCUUAACUUCCCUUCCGCGCAGCCUCCCCUCCCGCCACCGCCGCCUGCCUGGAGAGGAGAAGUGGAGGUUUGCCCAUGUGAAUAGGCGUGUGGAGAACAAAGUGAUGGGCACAGUAUGAGGUAGAUAUGUUUUUUCAAAAGUGAAUAACUCACGAGCCAAGGAGGGAGCGAGGGAGCCCAGCAGCUCAAAGCUGAGCGGCGGUGACAUGGAAUGAGCAGCCUCACUAGUUUAGGAAGCUGGCUGGGUACGCUUGGCGCAUGGCCACCUUCCACAAACAACUGGAUGUUUUUAGACAAACGGGACGCUGAUGGUUUGCUUUCUUUAAAAACAAAUUGAGGCAAGCCUUUGCUAUUAUUUUUUUCUUUUUUUGGCAAUUCUGUUUCAAAGGCAAAAGCUGCUGGACACCCCCAAACCAAAUUAUCAAUUUCUAACCAAAAUGAAAACGUUUACUUGGUAAGAAAGAUGAUAAGGAGCAGAAGUUAAUACCUUGUUUCUGUAUAUUAUCCACAAAGUUGCCAGACUAUUUGUAUCUAACAACUCUUACAUACUCCUUUUGUAUUACAACCCACACAUAAAUGCUUAUAUCACGAAUGGAAUAAAAAGUCCUCUGAACCUCUGAACGGUGCUGUUCGCCAGCUAAACACCCAGCCCUCCAGCUUCUCUUUCAGUCUGCAGCAGGCACUGCGUGCUCCCUCACUGAGUCCCCGUGGCACAAGCACGCUUUGCCAGCAGCCCUGUUGCACUCUCCUCCCCAGGGUUAAGCUUGAGCAUUCCCCUUUCGAGCGCCAGUUGCUGUGGCUGGGAGCUGCUCCAUGCAAGGACCGCAGACCAAAGCUUGGAAAUGAGAGAAGUUGGUUCUUUUGAAGCGGUUCGAGGCACGCCCUGCUGCAAAGGGGACUUCAUGGGAGUCGGAAACACAGGCACACCGGUCUGAAACACUUACUGUACAAUAGCAGGAAUGUAGGAAGCCUUGAAAAUGAAUCUGCUCUCUCUAAGAAAGUGUCAAAGCUUUCAGAGGAAAACAAACUGAACUUAUCCCUGUAUCUUUAUGCAGAUUUCCCCUUGAUGCUCCUUUCCUAAUCCCGAGCCUGGUUAAGGGCUGAGGCAGUGGUCAGGCACAUAUUAGUGUUACAGAAAAAUGGGUUACAAAAGGGGGGAGAACAGACUUACAAAAAGCCUCCUCUGUCAUUACAGCUAGAGACAUUCUGAAAGCACACAAAGCACAUGGGUCAGUCCUCAGCUUAAUUGUACUCAACAAUCUAGGUGCUCAUUCAAUCCCAUUUCAAGAUCAGCUGGCUGCUCUGCAGGCAUCACCACUGGUCAGCAAGUAUUUUAUUCCUUCUCUUCCCUUGCCCCACUUUCCCCACAUUUUCUCCCAUUUCCUUCCUUCCUUUUGAAAAGUGGGGGAUGCACACAACCCUCUUUCUACCUCCCCUGGUCUUCAGGCAGUAAAAUACACGAGUGGGUAGAGAUCAGGUUGUGAGUCUCACUGAGAUGAGGUAAUCUAUGCUGAAUCUCAACCAAAACCUGGCCAGGCCUCCAGCAGGAGGAGGAAAAUGGGAUUCCUGCCCACUUGUGGCUGUCUUGCACCCUGGAAUGCCCAAUCCCAUCUAGAAGCUACUACAGUGAGCAACAACAAACACGUAAAGACAACAUACAGCUGAAUAAUUCUCAGUCUCAUCAACUGCAUCAUCAGAAUAGUCACCCAAAUAAAGUGUUCAUAUUUACAUUAUUCAGAGCAAGAUUGCUUAAAGCAGAAGAUGGUCCAGCAGGAAGUCUUUCUUAGUCUCCUCCUACGACCAGUGCCUGAUGCUUUACUGUCAAAUGUGUUUUAAAUUGACAUUAGAAGUGAUGACUGCAAGGAAUGCAAAAGCCCAGGGAAAUCACUGCAGACUUCAAUGUUUCUGAAACCUGCCCCUUUCCACUCAGGACAACCAGGACCAUGGUGCUGCUGAAGAGAAUGUGCCCUCAUUUCUGCAGAGUAAUCUUCCUGGGCAGAUCAUUACGAUUACCCAAUGUCAUUUGCUUCAACUCUGAGGGUUGGUUAAACUAAUUCCCAUUUCUUGGUGACAUUUACCCCCAUAAAUAUCUAGUGCAGACUUAAGCUGUGGGGCUCCCCCUGAGGACUCUUGCUGUUGUGUACAGUUAAUUCUAGUGUAAGUACCUCCACUGCCUCCAAGAGAAAUGCAAAGCAUUGCUGUAACAAUACCUACCUCCUGCAGUCAUUGUAAGGCAUAGUGAACUUGGCUUUGUAAUAUGGGAAUCUUAUCAAUGGAAUUUCUACCUACAUACACUUUGCCUAUUUAUUUAAAUGGCUAUAACUGUUACCGAGACUUUAGUCUAUGCUCAUCUUUUAAAAAUAAAAAGCUUCAUAUUCAA